rnacentral:lncRNA from 1 species
UUGAACUUUGUGUCUCAAAACGAAAAUUUCAUUUUCUAGCCUCAUAUUCAUAUUUCUUUGUAAAGCAUUUCUGUUAGAAUAAAUUAGUGUCACUUUUGUAUAAAGAAACUCGGCAGCAUGAAAAACAAACGAGAUUUUCAAACAAUAUAUAUUGACGUGAGAGGAUUGUACCUAUAUUUUGAUGCAGAAGUCUUAAAAAGAUUUUGUGCCUUGCAUUGUACUUGAGCUUCAUUCUUUUUCAGCCAUGUUACGUUCUUUUUUGGACCAUACUGAUAAUAUUGCCCAAUAGGCAAAUACAAAGCUGACCUCAUCCCACCUGAAAGUUGCCCCUUUUGAGCCUCUGAAUUAACCGUAUCCUCAUAAGGCGUAUUUGCUCUACGGAAUGCAGACAUUGGAUUAUAUCUCUCUACGUUGGUGAUGUCCUUAUAUUCAUGUCUGCUCCCAUCUAUCUGUGAACUGUGAUAAUAAAGUUGCGGCCAACAAGGACAGAGCAAACUUAUACAUUUAUAGCUGUAAUGAUUACCUUAACUGAUAAUACUACUUUUAUACAGGACAAAAAAAGAGGUUACAAAUUUCUUAUCAGAGCUCUUCUAGCACAAAUAGGGUACAUUCGAGAAAGCAAAAUGUGACGCAUACGUUACUCCACAUGAAGAGUGACAGAUAACUGAAAGGGACCGUUAAUCAAGUAAUAGAUAAUGGAGACUUUACUGUACUUGUAUGUGACAAGAGGAGAAUGGCUAUCAUCAAUCAAUUUUCUUUACCUGUGUCAUCCCUGUCUCCGAAUUUCAUCUCUUUUUGAUAUUUCUUUCGCGUAUUUUGGAGCAUGCAGUUUGAAAAUGGACAAUGUCAUACUAUUCUGUGCACUCGAAAAUAGUUCUUCUGAGGUAAAAUUUUAAUUGGCAGUCACUGUUCAUUUUAUAAUGAAAAUUAAGAAAUUAUGAUUUUAACAUGGUAAGAGAAAAUAUUAUACAGGUUGAGAAAAAAAUGUAUGCCUAAUAAGAUUAAUUUUCGUCAUGUUUGCAGACUACUUUGAAAAAUAUAGAAUCCCGUAUUUUUAGUCGAAAAGUGACGUUAGUUACGAAUGGGAUAUUGGCAGGGGCGUAGCUAGAGUUUCCAUAUUCCUGGCUUGCUUUUAAAAUUCUUAAUCUACUCAGACCCCUGUUCGAAUGCUUUUAGAUUUACCGUAAGACAAAGAAUAAAACAACGCUACCAAAAAAAGAUAUUUUUCAUAAAAUUGAAUUUAACUUCUGCAUAGUUAGUUCUCCCAUAAACAUACCUGAAAAAAUAUUGUAUUAAAUUCCAUUUCAAAGGAUAAGGAAAUCUUCAAAAAAUUGGAUAAUAAAGCAGAAAUCAGUUUAUUUUAUUUAUACUGAAGAUUGUCGAUUUAUACAGAAUUUUCAAAAUAAAGGUUAAAGUAAUUACUUUUAGUUUUCGCCAUCGAAAUACAAGUCGGAAGGAAACCUUGAAUGCUCUUACCAUAUCUAAUAAAUGCAUACAAAUUUUCGCAUUUGUAUUCAAUUCAAUUCAAUUUUUACACCAAACAGAGACAAAUGAAAUAAACACAUUCAUAUUUAAGCAUUAUAAUAGAACUACAAACUACUAACUACAAAUUCACUGAAAUUACGAUGUUAGCAAUUAAGAUAUAUCAAACGCAGCCAUAUGGUCACAAAGAUAAUUAAUUCAAGGAAAGAGAAUCGAAAAUGGAAAUUUUAC